AGAGAAGGUAGGCAGUGCUUGCAAAGGCCUGAGUCUGAGGUACUUCUUUAUAGCACUGCAAGAAUGGACUAAUACGCUAUGUGAAGACAAAGGGGAUGUCUGCAAGCCAGGACGAGUGCGUCUACCAGAAACUGAGUUCUGCUGGACUUUGAUCUAGGACAUCCAGCCUCCAGAAUGGAAUGUGCCAUAUGUGGAGACCUGCAUGGAAAGGAACUGAGGAUGCUCUCUCACUAAAAGCUAGAAGGAACUGAGGCCCUCAGUCAACAGUCUACAAGACACUGAAUCUUGCCAGCAGCCAAGCAGUGAGCUUGAAAGCAGAUCUAUCAUCAGCUGAACCUUCAGAUGAGACCGCAGCCUAAGCAGAUACCUUGGUUGCAGCCAUGUGAGACAACCUGAAACAGAGGGCACAGCUAAGCCUCAGCCAGAUGGAGAGAGGGGAACCCGAGUCAAGGAAUGCAAAUGGCCUCUGGAAGCUGGAAAAAGCAAGAAAUGGAUUCUCCUUUAGAGCCUGUGGAAUAAAAUGCAGUCAUGCUGACACCUUGAUUUUACCUCAGUGAGACCAAUACUGGAGUAUGACCUUCGGAGCUGAAUAAAAUUAUACGUACACAUCUUAAUUUCUUGGGAUUUGAUUACUUCUUCUGCUUUGAAAUUAGACCAAGUUUAGCCUGCCUUUGCUAUUUUGGCGUAUCUCCAAUUCUUCAUGAUUUUCUCAUAAAAUUGUUGAACAUCUACAUACGAAGAUGAAGGGAAAACUUGAAAGCAGUCAGAGGAAAAAAAAGGACACAUUACCUUCAAAUGGACAAUAAGAUGGAUGGCUAAUUAAAAUAUUAUUGCAGUAUAAUUGAUGUUUGCUACAUUGUACAUAUUUAAAGUGUACAAUGUGAUCAUUUUCCACGUAUGUAUAUACAUGUAAAAGCAUCACCGGAAUAAAGAUUACAAACAUUUCUGUUACUCCUCAGAGUUCCUUAUGCCACUGUGUAAUCCAACCAUCCUCUACCCCAUCCCCAGAAAACUGAUUUGCUUUCUGUUACUGUAAUUAGUUUGGAUAUCCUAUAAUUUUUCAUAUGGAUGGAAAUGCAGUAUGUAUUUUGCCUGGCUUCUUUUACUCAGCAUAGCAAUUUUGAGAUUUAUUCAUUUUGUUGCAUGUAUCAAUAGUUCAUUCCUUUUUAUUAAGUAAUGUUUCCUUGCAUGAUUACACCACAGUUUAUCUAUUCCUCUGUUGAUGGACAUUUGGACUAUUUCAACUUUUGCCUAUGAACAUUUGUGUAAAAUGAACAUUUGUGUGAAAA
rnacentral:lncRNA from 1 species